rnacentral:lncRNA from 1 species
CAUUAGAAAAUUUAUAAAAAUUUGUAAAAUUCAAAAUGUUUUGUUUUAAUCUUUGCUCUUUCAUCUUUAAUCAGUAGGCUCUUUUCCCAUGGAAAAUGCCUCAGGGGAUUGUACACUUCAUUAGUGCAGUUAUUAAGAGUUCACUUUCAUAAUAAACUGACAAUGAAAAGUCAUUCAUGUAUAGCAUUUCAUAGUGCAUGGAAAAACAUGUACUAUGAAAAUUAGAGGGG